ACAACUCGUACUGGAAGGGAAAUGAAGAAAGGGGGGGGAAUUGAAGAACCCCAGAAGAGUGAAGCUGAGAGCAGAGAUAGGGAUAGACGGAUACUCCUGGUAGGAAUCUGUAAUAGCUGGUACACAGUACGGCUAUACAAAUACGCGAGAAGCGCGAUCACAAGCAUUUCGAGAGGCCUUUUCAGCGGCCAGCUACUACAGAAUCUGUUUGGGGGGGGGGAAGGGGGAACGGACAGUUUAAUAAAGCAGGACGUGUGCCGUUUUUUGGAAUUGGUGCGGUAGUUGUACGGUAAGGAUUGCCUCGCGUACGGGUACGGGUCGCCUCGCGCUGGAAGGGUCCUCGGCCCUAGGGGCGCCCCUAGUAAGGGGCGGCGGGUUUGUGCCGAAAUCUAUUUGAACACACGAUUCUGUCCGGUGCAUGUUGAUGUACUUUAUUUUUGGUGUUGUACGAGUAGUUGAUGGGGGUUAUUUACGUGUAUAUAUGUGUGGGGGGGUGGGGGAGAGGGGGCCCCACUUGCUGAUGGGUGCAGGAUUUUGCCGUGUUGCCUCAUCUCCCCCUGACUUGUGUGCUCGUCCCUUAAGACGCAUUCACACACACACUCUCUCUCUCUCUGAAAUAACGAAACCACACAUUUUCAAAACAUUAAGACAGACAUAUAUUCAUAUUAUUGAAACAUACGCAUACACACAUGCGCGCGACUUAGGGUUUUAGGGUUUUAGUGCCAGAUAGUGGUUUCCCAAACCUAAUGUCGUACAUUCGUACUUGUUGUGUUGUACCGCUGUCAAGGGAACCUACUUGAGAGAGACCUGGUCUCCAGGGAUGCUUUGUUGUGUGAUCACACCAAUUACCGUACUGUCCCGUACCUGCCGUGGUGUUUCGGUGGGCACGUAAUAACACAGCGCGUAGUACGGCAAUGCUGCUGAGGCUUUUUGAAUUGUUCACCCCUCCACCACUGCAUGCCGCGCUACCGCGCUUUGCUUGGUUUUACGCUUUGGGGAAAUCGUUUCCGUUUCUUUUCUCCUUCGGAAGGAAGGGCCGAGCCCGAUGCGAGCCUGUGAGCCUGCCGGGUGGUGAUGGGCGAUGAUGCGUCUGGCGGUGUGCGACUGGCGGCGGGCACAUACGCAGCUUGCCGUAGCCUGGUCUGUGUGCCUGUAUGUCUGCUAAUGUAUGUAUGUCGUUACAGGGUGGUAUAGCUUCACCAGCGGCCCCCUUUCCCUUGGAGGCAGUUCCCUGCUCUCCCCUGCGAGAGGGGCACCACAUCCGAUUCACCACAUCCGACUUCAGAAUGUAUUCGUUGGGUUCAGCAACUCACCACCCGCAUCCAACCAAAUCUAGCGGAUCAACGGCGCCUCAACUUAGUUCCUGGUCAGCUCGCAAGUUGAUAUGUAUGUAGGUAUGUCGGUGUAUCUUUCUCCACAACCCGCCAACCGUAAUCACCGAUGCGCAUUCCGCCAUUCCAGACACCAAAGAAGGGUGAGGGGCUUUUCACAACCUCAAGGGUAUUCCAUCCGUGUUGUGGAAUAGUGUCAGUUUCAGUUGUUAAGUCCAGUCAGCCCUCCUUUAAACUUCUUGUAGGACAAGCCGUACGAUCUGCACGACUUGUGUCCGCCCAUGUCUCCUUAAAAGCUCCUGCUUAGCGCUGAGUUCUUUGUCCUAAGCCUAAUUACGUGUAACAAAUCGUGCGCAGGUUCCUUCGCUGAAUGUGCAUCACGCCACGGCACUAGGAUUUAUACAAAACAGGUUACGAGCC
rnacentral:lncRNA from 1 species